rnacentral:rRNA from 1 species
AUUGAACGCUGGCGGCAGGCCUAACACAUGCAAGUCGAACGAGUGGCGGACGGGUGAGUAAUGUCUGGGAAACUGCCUGAUGGAGGGGGAUAACUACUGGAAACGGUAGCUAAUACCGCAUACCAUCAGAUGUGCCCAUAUGGGAUUAGCUAGUUGGUGGGGUAACGGCUCACCAAGGCGACGAUCCCUAGCUGGUCUGAGAGGAUGACGAGCAACAAUAGGACUGAGACAAGGUCCAGACGCCUACGGUAGGCAGCAGUGGGGAAUAUUGAACAAUGGGCGCAAGCCUGAUGCAGCCAUGCCGCGUGUAUGAAGAAGGCCUUAGGGUUGUAAAGUACUUUCAGCGGGGAGGCGUUACCCGCAGAAGAAGCACCGGCUAACUCCGUGCCAGCAGCCGCGGUAAUAC